rnacentral:rRNA from 1 species
GGAGUUAGCCGGUGCUUCUUCUGUGAGUGAUGUCCUUCCUGCCGGUUAUUGACCCGCAGGCCUUCUUCCUCACUGAAAGUGCUUUACAACCCGAAGGCCUUCUUCACACACGCGGCAUGGCUGGAUCAGGGUUGCCCCCAUUGUCCAAUAUUCCCCACUGCUGCCUCCCGUAGGAGUCUGGGCCGUGUCUCAGUCCCAGUGUGGCUGAUCAUCCUCUCAGACCAGCUACGGAUCGUCGCCUUGGUGAGCCGUUACCUCACCAACCAGCUAAUCCGACAUAGGCUCAUCCGAUAGCGCGAGGCCCGAAGGUCCCCCGCUUUCCCCCGUAGGGCGUAUGCGGUAUUAGCCUGGGUUUCCCCAGGUUAUCCCCCACUACCCGGGCAGAUUCCUAUGCAUUACUCACCCGUCCGCCGCUCGCCACCAGGGAGCAAGCUCCCCGUGCUGCCGCUCGACUUGCAUGUGUUAGGCCUGCCGCCAGCGUUCAAUCUGAGCCAGGAUCAAACUCUGA